rnacentral:tRNA from 1 species
UAAAAAUUUCCGGAAGCA